CGGAGAUGGCGACCGGCGCACGGGUGAGUAACACGUAUCCAACCUGCCGAUAACUCGGGGAUAGCCUUUCGAAAGAAAGAUUAAUACCCGAUGGCAUAAUUAGACCGCAUGGUCUUAUUAUUAAAGAAUUUCGGUUAUCGAUGGGGAUGCGUUCCAUUAGGCAGUUGGUGAGGUAACGGCUCACCAAACCUUCGAUGGAUAGGGGUUCUGAGAGGAGGGUCCCCCACAUUGGAACUGAGACACGGUCCAA
rnacentral:rRNA from 1 species